ensembl:misc_RNA Metazoa_SRP Metazoan signal recognition particle RNA
GCUGGGCAUGGUGGUGCAUGCCUGUAAUCCCAGCUACUCGGGAGGCUGAGGUGGAAGAAUCACUUGAACCCAGGAGGUACCUGGGCGACAAAGUGAGACUCCAUCUUAA